GCAAGCCUUUAUGUCGGUGGUGCCGCGCAAGCGGAGUAAUAGGGAAUACCGUAAGCUCUGGCGGGAUCUGUAAUGAUCCGGGAGCCAGUCGGUGGCUGCGCCCGCAACUGUAGGCGGUAUGUAGACGGAUCCAAUCAUCUGAUAUUCAGUCAGAUGGGUCACUGCUUCCAGUAAGGGAAGUGGGAAGACAGGACCGAACUGCCAUGAUCCGUGAGCCAGGAAACCUGCUACCGUCGCAAACCGUGC
rnacentral:ncRNA from 2 species